AGCCUUAGGGUACAAAUCUAAGGUCAAACCUGCCCAAUGUAAAUUUAUUAUCAAUGGCCGCGGUACUCUGACCGUGCUAAGGUAGCGAAAUCAAUUGGCUUUUAAAUGGAGUCAGGUAUGAAUGGAAGAACGUAGUUUUACUGUCUCUUAGUUAAUAACUUGAAAUUACUAUAUAGAUGAAAAAGUCUAUAAUAAGAAAAAAGACGAGAAGACCCUUAGAGUUUUACUAAAAAUGAAUUUUUUUUAUUUAUUAAAGUUUGGUUGGGGCAACUUAGGAAAAUUUAAAACUUCCUAAUUAAAUACUAAUCGUUAAUUAAAAACUUGAAUAAACUACCUUAGGGAUAACAGCAUUAUGUAAUAAAUAAGUUUGUGACCUCGAUGUUGGACUGGGAAACUAAAAGGCUAGCCGUUUUUUAGGAAAGUUCUGUUCGAACUAAAUAUUCC
rnacentral:rRNA from 1 species